CUAAAUUUAAACUUUUUUAUUUAUACAUAUAUUUUUUUAAGAAACAAACUAUGUUAAAAUGCCUUAGAAAAGCAAAAUUCUAAGCUUAACAUCAGUGACGUCCGGCAUAUAUGUCCAAAUGUAAUGGUUAUUACAUGAAUAAAAUUCAAAUCUAAAAAAUUCAAGAGGCAUUAAUCACCCAGGCCGAGAGAUGCCGAAUUUUAAUCUUGUGAUGAAACUUAAUCCAAAUACCCAAUUGAUUAAUCCCAAAACCUUCACGUUAGACAAGAUUCAACAUCAUAGGAAAUUGAUCAUGAACAACAAAAUCUCAAAAUGGGAAUAAAGUCAUGCAUUAACAGCAUGAUCUCAAAAUAACACCAAGACAAGAAAAUAACGGGUUCAUAAGUGAGAGAGAUAAGAGGUAACCUCAACUUUUUGUAUCAAAAAAUGUUCUAAGACAGGAAACCCCAGACAGUGACCUUCGGCGGAAUCGUGAAUCUGCAUGAAAACCUUAGACUAAAGCCUUCGACAACCUCGAAACUCGCCGGGAAAUUCGUAUUGAACCCAAAACAAAUGAAAUCAACAGAAAAAGAAUGAAGUUGCUACUGCGUUUUUGCUCUUUGUCCUCAAAUAAUCUCCAUUUCUGGAAUUAGAAAAUAAAAGAAGAGUAAACUUGUUUUUUCCAGAUUUUGUCCGAAAAUUUCCCAAGCUUUUCCCCUAUCCCUAUGUGCGUGUGGGUGUGUCUGUGAAUACGACGAUGUAUCCAUUUACGCGGCCGCGUUUGAAGAUGUGAGAAUGAGAAGGGUGAAGUUCAGGUGUUAAGGGUGAUUGUUUGGUUGUGCGGCGUGGUGAGGGAUGGCGGCGUAUUUUUGUGAAGUGAAGAAAUAGGCGCUGAUGGAGGAGUGGUAGGCGCCUGACUUGGAUGUAAGAAGAAGGGGACGACUUGGUUGAUUUUCCUCCCCCUAGGGUUAGGUCAUGUGUCCAUUAAGAAGAAGAUUUGCUGAUGGAUUGUUUAGGGUUGGGGUAGGGUCAAUUGGGCCAAAA
rnacentral:lncRNA from 1 species